rnacentral:siRNA from 1 species
UAGAGAUGAUGAACCCCAAGU